AGAUUCUGAUAAAGACACAGGGAGGGAGAAGUCGAACCGAAGACUUUGUUUUUUUGUCCAUUUGUUCUUCAGCCUUCCAAAGAGAAAGCUCUCGGUGAGACUGCCUCCAGAUGUCCUCACGUACACUUGGGUUGAUAAAAGCCCGACGUGUGCACCACGAAGAUGGACCAGAGCUGAGGACCAAACCCAGGCUAGGCAAGCGCUCUACCACUGAGCUACACUCCCAACCCCUUCACCUUGCCAUUCUGACCUGGAAGCAGUCAGUGUUUGGAGUUUGGAAACUCUUUUUCUUGUAGGAAAAAGUGCUCUCCCCGUGUCUUUGAAGGUGGCAGCUUGCAGAAAGGAAAUGGAAUGGAGCAACACCAUAGCAGAAGAAGCAGCUUGCUUCAGACUCUCUCAGGCUACAGGAUAGCUUCCCCAGAGAGACGAUGGAUAUGGGCCAGAGGUCAGCCAUUCACCGUGAAUUCACACAUGGAGAGAAGAGCUAGUGGCCUCGGCAGCUCUCUUCCUGAUCGGAGCCUUGGCUGUUCUUCUUCCAAACAUUCUUCCAAAUGUUCCACCUGCACCCGCUCACCUCUGUCUCACCUCUGCCGUCGUGUUCAGACUCGGCUUCACAUCUAACCCUGGCCUUGAUCCGGUUUUACUUCUGUGAACAGACACCAUGACCAAGGCAACUCUUAUAAGGACAACAUUUAACUGGGGCUGGCUUGCAGGAUCAGAGGUUCAGUCUAUUAUCAUCAAGGUGGAAGCACAGCAGCAUCCAGGCAGGCAUGGAACAGGAGAAGCAUGGUACAUCUGAAGGUUGAAAGAAGACUGGCUUCCAGGCAACUAGGGUCUUAAAGCCCACAUCCACAGUAACACGUGUACUCCAGCAAGGCCACACCUCCUAAUAGUGCCCCUCCCUGGGCCAAACAUAUACAAACCACCACAGUAUGCAUCUGUGUGGGUCUGUGCAUGAGUGCAGAUACAAAUGGAGCCAAGACUGCUGGAUCCUCUGGGGCUGGAGUUACAGAUAGUUGUGAACCAUCUGAUGUGGAGCUGGGAACUGAACUCUGGUCCUCUGGAAGAACAGCGUAUGCACUUAACCACUGAGCCAUCUCUCCAGCCCCAGAAAUAACUUUCAAGUGCCUUGGUCCCUCUCCUACUCUUCUGUUGAUGACUGAAGGCCACUCCAGGAUUUCUGUCUUCACCUUCUGGCUGGCUUUCAUGGCUCUCCCUGGGGCUGAUAGAGAUAUCCUUUACAAAGACAAACUAAGUUUAUGUUGACUGACCUUUUAUUU